UAGCAGGUGGUUUAGUGGUUAGAACUUGAGACCAAGAUUUUUAUGUGGUCUCAAGUUCGAGUCUUGUGGUUGCUAA